rnacentral:rRNA from 1 species
AUUGAACGCUGGCGGCAGGCUUAACACAUGCAAGUCGAGCGGAGAGAGGUAGCUUGCUACUGAUCUUAGCGGCGGACGGGUGAGUAAUGCUUAGGAAUCUGCCUAUUAGUGGGGGACAACAUUUCGAAAGGAAUGCUAAUACCGCAUACGUCCUACGGGAGAAAGCAGGGGAUCUUCGGACCUUGCGCUAAUAGAUGAGCCUAAGUCGGAUUAGCUAGUUGGUGGGGUAAAGGCCUACCAAGGCGACGAUCUGUAGCGGGUCUGAGAGGAUGAUCCGCCACACUGGGACUGAGACACGGCCCAGACUCCUACGGGAGGCAGCAGUGGGGAAUAUUGGACAAUGGGCGGAAGCCUGAUCCAGCCAUGCCGCGUGUGUGAAGAAGGCCUUUUGGUUGUAAAGCACUUUAAGCGAGGAGGAGGCUCUUAAGGUUAAUACCCUUGAUGAGUGGACGUUACUCGCAGAAUAAGCACCGGCUAACUCUGUGCCAGCAGCCGCCGUAAAAC